rnacentral:lncRNA from 1 species
CACGGGAAGAUUUUGAAAUUAAUUUCAAUAAAAACUUUUAUUCUAUUUAUUUAUGAAAUAAAUUUAUUAUACGAGAUCUUUUAAUUGAUAGUCUAUAUCACGUACAUGUUGAUGUGAAUGUGAAUUUAAAUGAGUAAAUAGUGAGUGUUGUAGGUCAAAAGAGAUCCAGAGAUGAAAUUAACCAGAAGUACUUAUGGCAUCACAGACUAGGUCAUGUUGGAGAGAACAAGAUAUACAAACUGAAAAAGGAUGGGAUCUUUGGCUCUUUUAAUCCAGAGUCGUAUCUAGC